AGGAAGAGAAGCAAGGCGGAGAGUGAGUCUCAAUGAGCUGCUCUGCCGAGGACAGUUCUAGAGACCGCUGACUUAAAGAGACCGGCAGCACGUGGAAUAAUUGUAGUACUGUUCCUAUAAAGCUUUCACUCUCAGGAGGGUUGUAAAAAAAACAAUCCUUCUCAUCCAAAUUAGGAAUAGUGUGGAAACUGGAGGAAUUGUAUUUGGUAACAAAUGACUCAUUUAUGCCAAGGAAUUAAAACAUUUUUAGCCAUGGUAAGUGAUUAUUUUCAUACCAAACAGCAGCCUCUCAGUUGCCGAGUCAACGCUAGCCCAUCGCAUAACCUCCGUCAACUGAGAAAAUGCACCCCGUCCUCCAGAAGGGUGCAGCACGACACCUUGGCACAGGCUUGAUUUCAGCCCUGCUUUGCCCUUCAAGGGCACCCUUGUCUGAUGAACAAUGAGCACAACUGUCCACAGGAGGGCCUGACUCUGUGGGGACGUAAGGGCUGAAGUCUCCUCACUGGCUGACAAGACUCAUUAGAUACCAUCAGAUGAGCUGAUGUGUGUUACAUGGUGACGCGGCGAGACACAUGUAGAAUGAAAUACAACCCGAGCGCCGGUGUAAAAGAAAAUUCCUCCUCACCCAAGCUGGGACAGAUUAGUAUGUAUUAGGUAUUCUACUUUACAUACUUUGCUUUGAACACUCAUUAUUGUGUAAACACUUCUGGACCAACAAAUCUCUGCAUCUGGCAAAGACAAGGUUCGGGGAACUACACGUAGAUUCAGCGACUUUGUCCUGAGGCCUUUUUGGUCCACUGCAGCAAGGCACGACCGUUCUCAAAUUUAAUUCCACAACCUGUCCACCCAAAAGAGAAGGAACUCAAGAAGUGACAUCGUACCUUCGGAGAAAAAAAACGCAAGCUGGGCCACAGAGCCGAAAACACCACAACCACAAAAACAAACUAAACCAUCACAUUCAUAAACAAGGACUCAAUGUUCUUUUUAAUGCUUAAGGAAUGAAUUUCCAAAGAUCAGGACGGGCAUGUAAGUGGCGUGGGACAGGCAGGAAGCCUUAUCACCUCCCAGAAAGACCAGGGUGUGCACCCAGCUGCUGGCCAGCGUCUUCUAUGCAUCUGUCUUUGCAAAGCAGCUGAUGCAUCCUUUUUAAUGGUACUUGAUGCUAACGUCAUCAACCGGGAAGAAGGCAGCAGUUGCUCCAUACUCUGGACACAUGUUUGCAAUUGUAGCUCGGUCAGCAAUGGACAACUGGGGUACGCCUGGCCCGAAAAACUCCACAAAUUUGCCCACUACCCCCACCUGGCGCAGGUGCUGAGCAGCAGAACAAGAAAAAAGCUUGAGACUCAACAGCCCAUCUUUAAAAUGCAGAGCUAGCACUUUGUAAUUCUUACAAACUAGCCUGACAUGCCAUCAGCCAGGGCUGGGGCCUCCGCGGCUCACCUGGCCCUGCACAAAGCCAAUCUCACCCGCAGUGUGGACAGCCACACCGACAGGCUCUUCAGGUUACGGAGGCUUCUGCUAAAUUCUGUGGGCAAGUCCUACAUCAUUCUACAUUUGAAGAACAAUGCACAGACCUCUGUGAAAAGCUACAGUAUUCAAAUAAAUGCCAUUCCAAAUUCCAUAGGGAUUAAAUCAAAGAGAAACAUUUUUUGGACUUUAGCAGGAUACUAGUUAUCCCUAACACUCCAGGCCUCCUAACUAUACAACCAGAAAAAACUAUGGUUGUGAUAAUAAAAAAAUAUCACUUUUCUAAUAAUCUUGCAAAAUGAAACUGCUCUCCUUUUGCAGAGCAAGCAAAUCAUACACACACAAAGAAAAGAUUAUUUCUUGCAAAAGCUAAAGAAAAAGGAAAAAAAAAGUACUAUUUCAGCUUGGAGAAACAUCUGUUACAAUAAUGUAACUUCGAAUACAGAGAAGGGAAUUUAAAAAGUCAGACAUUAAAGUCAUAGAAACAGUUUGUUAUUUACACAUAAAGAAGAACCAUGUGGAAAAAUGUAGUCAAAGUAUAAACACGCUUGGGAAUGAGUCUUACAACCUUGGGAUAGCGCUUAUUUCUAGGAAUGCGGAGGAUGGCCUUAGCCAUAAAUAUUUCAUUUUAUUUCUUAAAAAACAUACCCACAGGGAGAGCUCUGAAGCAAAUGUGGCAAAAUGUUACCAUCUGUUAAGUCUAGGUGGUGGUGCAUAUGAAUGCCAUUUUAACUUCUGUGUAUUUGAACUCUUUCACACUUUCAGAAUAUUUUUUUGAAGAAAAGGAGCCAUGCAGCGGAGGAAGAGUAAAAUGGACAUUAAUUGUCUAAAACUUAACCACAGAACUCUCCCCUUAUCUCAUCUCUUUUUAAUAAUCAUCAACGUCCU